GAUGAACGCUGGCGGCGUGCCUAACACAUGCAAGUCGAGCGAGAUGUAUAUGGACGAUACUUCGGUCUAAGAAAUAUAUUGACAGCGGCGGACGGGUGAGUAACGCGUAGGCAACCUGCCCUUAACACAGGGAUAGCCUCGGGAAACCGGGAUUAAAACCUGAUAAUGCCAAAUAGUCACAUGGCUGUUUGGCCAAAGAUUUAUCGGUUAAGGAUGGGCCUGCGCCUGAUUAGUUUGUUGGUGGGGUAACGGCCUACCAAGACUACGAUCAGUAGCGGACCUGAGAGGGUGAUCGGCCACAUUGGAACUGAGACACGGUCCAAACUCCUACGGGAGGCAGCAGUGGGGAAUAUUGCACAAUGGGCGAAAGCCUGAUGCAGCAACGCCGCGUGAGCGAUGAAGGCCUUUGGGUCGUAAAGCUCUGUCCUUGGGGAAGAAAAAAAUGACGGUACCCAAGGAGGAAGCCCCGGCUAACUACGUGCCAGCAGCCGCCGUAAGAC
rnacentral:rRNA from 1 species